rnacentral:rRNA from 1 species
UACAGAGGGUGCGAGCGUUAAUCGGAAUUACUGGGCGUAAAGGGCGCGUAGGCGGUGCUCUAAGUCGGAUGUGAAAACUCUGGGCUCAACCCAGAGCCUGCAUCCGAAACUGGAGUGCUAGAGUUCUGGAGGGGGGUAGCGGAAUUCCUGGUGUAGCGGUGAAAUGCGUAGAUAUCAGGAGGAACACCGGUGGCGAAGGCGGCUACCUGGACAGAAACUGACGCUGGAGGCGCGAAAGCUAGGGGAGCAAACAGG